AAGCGAAACCGCACACUAUCGGUGGACCACGCAGGGUCCCUCCUUCCCCUGCUCCUCCGGUGUGCGGUCUGUCGGACGUGGCUGUCCGGCACCGAUGAGCCAGCCAAAC
rnacentral:hammerhead_ribozyme from 1 species